AGCGAACGCUGGCGGCAGGCCUAACACAUGCAAGUCGAGCGAACCUAGCUUGCUAGGUGAGCGGCGAACGGGUGAGUAACACGUAGGAAUCUGCCCGAUAGUGGGGGACAACGUCUCGAAAGGGACGCUAAUACCGCAUACGCCCUACGGGGGAAAGCAGGGGAUCUUCGGACCUUGCGCUAUCGGAUGAGCCUGCGUCGGAUUAGCUAGUUGGGGGGGUAAAGGCCCACCAAGGCGACGCUCCGUAGCUGGUCUGAGAGGAUGAUCAGCCACACCGGAACUGAGACACGGUCCGGACUCCUACGGGAGGCAGCAGUGGGGAAUAUUGGACAAUGGGGGCAACCCUGAUCCAGCCAUGCCGCGUGUGUGAAGAAGGCCUUCGGGUUGUAAAGCACUUUAAGCGGGGAGGAAAGUUCGCUGGCUAAUAUCCAGCGGAAUUGACGUUACCCGCAGAAUAAGCACCGGCUAACUCCGUGCCAGCCGCCGCAGUAACAC
rnacentral:rRNA from 1 species